UGGGGAAUCUUGCGCAAUGGGCGAAAGCCUGACGCAGCGACGCCGCGUGCGGGAAGAAGGCCUUCGGGUUGUAAACCGCUUUCAGGAGGGACGAAGCCACUCGGGUUAAUAGCCCAGAGGGUGACGGUACCUCCAGAAGAAGCCCCGGCUAACUACGUGCCAGCAGCCGCGGUAAUACGUAGGGGGCUAGCGUUGUCCGGAUUUAUUGGGCGUAAAGAGCGCGUAGGCGGCCGAGUAAGUCCGACGUGAAAUCUGGAGGCUCAACCUCCAGCGGUCGUUGGAAACUACUCGGCUAGAGUCCGGAAGAGGAGAGUGGAAUUCCUGGUGUAGCGGUGAAAUGCGCAGAUAUCAGGAAGAACACCGAUGGCGAAAGCAGCUCUCUGGGACGGUACUGACGCUGAGGCGCGAAAGCGUGGGGAGCGAACAGGAUUAGAUACCCUGGUAGUCCACGCCGUAAACGAUGGGUGCUAGGUGUGGGCGGUGUCGACUCCGCCCGUGCCGAAGCUAACG
rnacentral:rRNA from 1 species